UCCCACAUGGGCUAGCGGUUAGGAUUCCUGGUUUUUCACCCAGGCGGCCCGGGUUCGACUCCCGGUGUAAGAA
rnacentral:tRNA from 1 species